rnacentral:rRNA from 1 species
AUAUCAUUAAGCGGAGGAAAAGAAACUAACAAGGAUUCCCCUAGUAGCGGCGAGCGAAGCGGGAUCAGCACAAAUUUGGAAUCUGGAUAGCAUGGCUGUCUCGAAUUGUAGUCUGAGCGGGUGAGUGGAGCAGGCUGUGGGCGUCAAAGUCUUCUGGAAAGGAGCGCCGGAGAGGGUGAGAGCCCCGUGUGAGGCAUGGCAGCAGCUCAGCUCAUCGGCAGCGAGUCGGGUUGUUUGGGAAUGCAGCCCCAAUCGGGUGGUAGAACUCAUCCAAGGCUGAAUACGGGCAAGAGACCGAUAGCGCACAAGUA